rnacentral:rRNA from 1 species
CCUACGGGUGGCUGCAGUGGGGAAUAUUGGACAAUGGGGGGAACCCUGAUCCAGCCAUGCCGCGUGUGUGAAGAAGGCCCUCGGGUUGUAAAGCACUUUCAGUGAGGAAGAACGCCUGGUGGUUAAUACCCAUCAGGAAAGACAUCACUCACAGAAGAAGCACCGGCUAACUCCGUGCCAGCAGCCGCGGUAAUACGGAGGGUGCGAGCGUUAAUCGGAAUUACUGGGCGUAAAGCGCGCGUAGGUGGCUUGAUAAGCCGGUUGUGAAAGCCCCGGGCUCAACCUGGGAACGGCAUCCGGAACUGUCAAGCUAGAGUGCAGGAGAGGAAGGUAGAAUUCCCGGUGUAGCGGUGAAAUGCGUAGAGACCGGGAGGAAUACCAGUGGCGAAGGCGGCCUUCUGGACUGACACUGCCACUGAGGUGCGAAAGCGUGGGUAGCAGACAGGUUUAGAUACCCUAGUAGUC